CAUGGCCUCAUCUUGCGCUUCUAAGGAGUUUAUUUUCAAGGUUGAAGUGGAAGCUCCAGAAUUUUUACUUGCCUCAAAUUUGUUCUUCUUUCCAUCAAAGUUAACUCCAGUAGCGCUGGUCUUAACAUUCAGGAGAGAUGACCACUUCAGGUUGCUUCAGCUGCCCCAAUGCAACUGCAAAGAAAGAAGAGAAAUUUCCAUGAAUAAGUGAUGUGAGGAGAAGAGAUACCAAAAGCAUGACACCAUUCUGUUCUGAGGAUGGAGAGGAUUAGAAAUAACUCACAAGUCCAGAAUGAGGAGAGGAGGACUGCUUUCAGGGGCAGCAUCCCGUCUGCCCGGCUGGCUUCCUGAGAAAUGGGUGAGGACCCUGAGAGCUGAGGCCCCAGGAACUGGACUGCAGCUGCUGGAAAUAUAACACAGCACAACAUGAAAAUCAGCUUCUCCUCACCCUGGACGAUGAAAAUGCCUGACAAGCAUAUGUCAUAUAAGUCAUUAUUUUCAAACAUCAUUAUGUUUAAUAUGCAGCAUUCGCUGUAAGGAUCAUACAACCUCUCACAAUCAUCAAAGACUUACUACUCUUCAAUCAUUGACUAUAUUCUCUUAUAUUAUUUAAUUUCACAACUUGAAUUGUUCUGUGGCGUUUCUCAUGAUAAUACAUAGCUGACAAAUCAUCAUUCAGUAUCACAGAACUUGCAAAUAAAAAAUUCAGAUGAGAUCAAAGUGUUUUGUUUUAAAAAGCCAAGUAUAGUGUGAUGUAAAACUACCAGCAGAGGCAACUUUCAUUUGUUCUUUAUUUUUAUUUCUCUACAUAUUUAUAGAUACAAAUAGGGUAGCAUCAGUAAGUGUA